UACGUAGGGUCCAAGCGUUGUCCGGAAUUACUGGGUAUAAAGGGUGCGCAGGCGGGCUCGUGCGUCGAAGGUUAAAGGCCAUGGCUCAACCAUGGAAAUGCCCUCGAUACGGCGAGUCUUGAGUAUGAGAGAGGAAGAUGGAAUUCCUGGUGUAGCAGUGAAAUGCGUAGAUAUCAGGAGGAACACCGGUGGCGAAGGCGGUCUUCUGGCUCAUUACUGACGCUCAGGCACGAAAGCGUGGGGAGCGAACAGGAUUAGAUACCCGGGUAGUCC
rnacentral:rRNA from 1 species